GGCCGCCACAAAGGUCCUUUGGGCCUCACUGACAGUCGACCUCCUAUGGCAGCCAACCAUUCUCCGAGUCUCUCCUGGACUUCUUCCAACCACGGACGACCCUACUUCAAACUUCUUCCGGGCUUCGUCAGCAUCCGAGCUUCUCCGACAACGAGAUUUCUACAGUAACCAGAUUCCUUCCAAGUUUCUACGACGGUCGACCGUCUUUCGGAUCCCGAUCGAGCUCCUGCGAGAGCCGAACUUCUACUACGAACGGUCUACUCCGAACUCCUACAGCGGGUUGUCUAUCCC
rnacentral:lncRNA from 1 species